CUGGCAUCCCGACUCCAUUGUUUGGCAACCUCGUGGUCUUUGUUUAGACGCAAAAGUAGUUGUCCAGUACCGUGGAGUUCCAGCUGGCAUGGUAUCAGCCUGGGGUCCUCAGGUCAUUUCUAGGUAUUGGAAGGCUCUCUAGUCCCUCUUUAACACCUGUCAGUCUCUCCUUUGGGUUCGACCCAGACUGAGAGGAUCAACCAGGAACUAGAAAAGUACCUACAAUGUGCGGUUUCAGCCAGUCCCAAGGCUUGGAGUUGAUUUGGAGAUCGGAAACGUCUCAAUGACAAUACAGGUAAGAUACAGCCCAUUCUUCCCCUCAGAGCAGCUGGAAGUCUGUGUCCCCUCAGCUGAUGCUGCUGCCUUCCUUGUGCUAUUGGUUGGGAACCCGCAGCGGCCAACCCUCCCAGCGCAUCACGAGAUGGUGAAUUCCUGUACACACGAUGCACAGCCAGCAUCGAUGCAAAUCGCCGCAGAAAAAAGGAAAACACAGACCUGCGAGAAUGGCUCCUUGUACAGGGUACAGUUGUUGCCCAUGAGGAAGGCUUCAUUCCCCUGAAAAAUGCUUAUUUUUCUCCUUCUGACUCUCUUGACAGUGGCCCAUUAAAGUCUCCUGCGAUGGUAAGUAAUGUGUAGCUUCUCUCUCUUCUCUCUCCCAAUUCCCUGUGUUUUUUGUCAGAGCAGAGGGUGGAGCACUCAUGCAGAGGUAGACUGGCAGCAGUAACAUGUUUACUGAAUUCCACAAACACACAGAAGGAGAAAAUGAGGGGGGCAAGAGGCGUACACAAACAGCCCCUGAGGAGUGAUACACAGAAAUACGUUCACUUUUGACCUUCACAAGCUCUCAAAUUUGUAUUUUUAAUCACUUUAAAAGGCGCCACAUAUAAUGUUAGACGCCACAAGCAAAACAAAGGGCAAGAGGCGUACACAAACAGCCCCUGCGAAGGGCAAGAGGAGUACACAAACUGCCCCUGUAAUACUCACAAGAAUAAUCAAAUCUGUUGGACAAUCCAUAAUGUGGUCAGACAAUCUAAAGCUCAGUAGAUCCACAAACACACGAACAGAUAGAUAGAUAGAUAAAUACUUUAUUAAUCCCGUGGGGAAUUUCUGGUGUCUUACAGCUCUCUCAUAUUUACAAUAAUUACAAACAGUAUAUACAGACAAUACAAUACAGUUAUGUACAGUGUAGAAUGUAUAGUGCAAAACAGUGU
rnacentral:lncRNA from 1 species